GAUGAACGCUGGCGGCGUGCCUAAUACAUGCAAGUCGAGCGAACAGACGAGGAGCUUGCGCUUCUGACGUUAGCGGCGGACGGGUGAGUAACACGUGGAUAACCUACCUAUAAGACUGGGAUAACUUCGGGAAACCGGAGCUAAUACCGGAUAAUAUAUUGAACCGCAUGGUUCAAUAGUGAAAGACGGUUUUGUUGUCACUUAUAGAUGGAUCCGCGCCGCAUUAGCUAGUUGGUAAGGUAACGGCUUACCAAGGCAACGCUGCGUAGCCGACCUGAGAGGGUGAUCGGCCACACUGGAACUGAGCCACGGUCCAGACUCCUACGGGAGGCAGCAGUAGGGAAUCUUCCGCUAUGGGCGGAAGCCUGACGGAGCAACGCCGCGUGAGUGAUGAAGGGCUUCGGAUCGUAAAACUCUGUUAUUAGGGAAGAACAAAUGUGUAAGUAACUAUGCGCGUCUUGACGGUACCUAAUCAGAAAGCCACGGCUAACUACGUG
rnacentral:rRNA from 1 species